UACCAAACUUUUGAAACACAAAAAACAACAA
rnacentral:piRNA from 1 species